UGCCAAGCCAGGGCAGGAUUACCUUUGAUCUGUGCUAUCCAGCUCGUGUUACACGAAGGUGCAGCCAAAGCAGGCUGCAUAUUAGUGUAAACACCCCACCUGCCCCCGUCCUUUGCUGGCCUGGAUUGGGCCCACUGAGCCAGAAGAGCAGCAGCCCGGCCACAGCAGUGGCCAGGCAGGCAGUUUAACUUUUUCCCGACUGCUUCCCUGGGAAGCCAGGCAGCCACAACAUCUAUUGUAAUGGUGAAGGAAUUGAAGAUUACAGGUAAUCUGGUGGAACCCAGAGCAAGCAUGCUUCCUCCAUCAGCCAAACAGGGAGAGACUAAAUCAUUUUCUCUAGGUCAUACAGAAUGUCACUGACAUGGACUUCAGAUACUCCCUGUUGUCUCUGGAAGAAUGAAAACAAACGAGAUACUACAAAGUGAUUCUUUUGCAUUUAUUUGUGACAUUGUGUAUGAAGCCCUUUUUGCAACAUAUAGCCAACUUCAGGCCACUAUAUUCCUUCUGAAUAAAAUUCAGAUGCCAAGAACUAGCCCCUUGUAGUAUAAACAGGAUGGUUCCUCCUGAACUUUAUGUAAGGUUAGAAACUAGGCUGAUGUCCCUUUUAUUCUGCUUGAUCAGAUUAUUCAACCUUGAGCAUUGGCUAAAAUGUUGCAGCCUCUGCUAGUGGACUUUCUCUGUUCUUCCAAGAUGAAUUAAAACAGAAAAUAGAAACAUAA